GAUGAACGCUGGCGGCGUGCCUAAUACAUGCAAGUCGAGCGAACAGACGAGGAGCUUGCUCCUCUGACGUUAGCGGCGGACGGGUGAGUAACACGUGGAUAACCUACCUAUAAGACUGGGAUAACUUCGGGAAACCGGAGCUAAUACCGGAUAAUAUAUUGAACCGCAUGGUUCAAUAGUGAAAGACGGUUUUGCUGUCACUUAUAGAUGGAUCCGCGCCGCAUUAGCUAGUUGGUAAGGUAACGGCUUACCAAGGCGACGAUGCGUAGCCGACCUGAGAGGGUGAUCGGCCACACUGGAACUGAGACACGGUCCAGACUCCUACGGGAGGCAGCAGUAGGGAAUCUUCCGCAAUGGGCGAAAGCUUGACGGAGCAACGCCGCGUGAGUGAUGAAGGUCUUCGGAUCGUAAAACUCUGUUAUUAGGGAAGAACAAAUGUGUAAGUAACUAUGCACGUCUUAACGGUACCUAAUCAGAAAGCCACGGCUAACUACGUG
rnacentral:rRNA from 1 species